ensembl:lncRNA
GAUUCUUUUUUCUAGAAUGUUUUUGAGCCUGUUGACUGUCAGGCUAAAGCAAGCAAAUAUAGGAAGGGGUUAGCAUUACUGAAUUAAUUUCAGUGAGAGUUUAAUUGCAAAAUCAGAAUUUAUUCUACCAAGUGAAAUUUAUAAUGUAUUUACAUAUAAAUUACAUGAUUAUUGUUCUAUUUCCAUAAUAUUUUCUUUUGUUCCAUAUUAGAGUUUCAUGUUUGUUUCUUUAUUUUUAAUGAAUAAAUAGUUGAUUUACAAUUUCUGCUGUACAGCAGUGGGACCCAGUCAUUCAUAUAUAUAUAUAUAGAGAGAGAGAGAGAGAGAGAUACAUUGUUUUUCUCAUAUAGUCCCCCAUCAUAUUCUAUAUCAAGAGAAUGGACACAAUUCCCUGUGCUAUAGAGUAGGACCUCAUUGCCCAUCAAUUCUAUAUGUAAUAGUUUGCAUCUACUAACCCCAAACUCCCAGAGCAUCCCAUCCCCACCUUCCACUUGUCAACCACAAGUCUAUUCUCCAUGAUUCUGAGUUUUUCUGUUCUGUAGAUAGGCUUAUUUGUGCCAUGUUUUAGAUUCCAUAUAUAAGUGAUAUCAUAUUGUGUUUGUUGUUCUCUAUCUAACUUACUUCACUUUGUAUGAGAAUAUCUAGUUGCAUCUUUGUUGCUGGAUUAUUUUGUUUUUUUUUUUUUUUUUAUGGCUGAGUAUUAUCCAUUGUGUGUAUGUGCUACAUCUUCUUAAUCCAUUCAUCUAUUGAUGGACAUUUAGGUUGUUUCCAUGUCUUGGCUAUUGUGAAUAGUGCUGCUAUGAACAUGCAGGUGCAUGUAUCUUUUUAAAUUAUAGUUUUGUCUGGAUAUAUGCUCAGGAGUGGAAAUUGCUGGAUCAUAUGCUACUUCUAUGUUCAGUUGUCUGAGGAACUGCCAUACUGCUUUCUGUAGUGGUUGUACCAAUUUAUAUUCCCACCAACAGGGAAGGAAGUUUCCCUUUUCUCCAGACCCUCUCCAGCAUUUGGUAUUUGUAGACUUACUUGUUAAUGAUAGGCAUUCUGAUGGGUGUGAGGUGGUACCACAUUUUAAUUUUCAUUUAUCUUUCUCUAAUAGUGAUGUUGAGCAUUUUUUUCUUGUGCCUGCUUGCCAUCUCUACAUCUUCUUUGGAGAAAUGUCUGUUUAGGUUUUCUGCCCAUUUUUCAACUGGGAUGCUUUUUUUUUGUUUGUUUUGGUUUUUUUUUUUUGUUUGUUUUUGAGUUGUAUGGGUUGUUUGUAUAUUUUGGAGAUUUAGCCCCUUGUUGGUUGCAUCAUUUACAAUUUUAUUCUCCCAUUUCUGUAGGUUGUCUUUUAAUUAUUUUAUGGUUUCCUUUGCUGUGCAGAAGCUUGUAAGUUUGAUUAAGUCCCAUUGGUUUAUUUUUGUUUUUAUUUCUAUUGCUUUAAGAGGCUGACCUAAGACUGACCGGUUUAUGUCACAUGAUGUUUUGCCUGUAUUCUCUUCUAGGAGUUACAUGAUGUCUUGUCUUAUGUUUAAGUCCUCAAGUCAUUUUGAGUUUGUUUCGGGGCAUGGUGUGUGGAUGCUUUCUAAUUUCAUUAGUUUAUAUGUAGCUGUCUAGUGUUCCCAGCAUCACUCACUGAAGAGACUAUCUUUUCCCCAUUUUAUAUUCUUGCCUCCUUUGUUGAAAAAUAAUUGACUGUAAGUGUCUAGGUUUAUUUCUAGGCUCUCUAUUCUGUUCAAUUGGUCCCUAUAUCUGUUUUGGUACCAUGCCACAUUUGUAAUAUUGUUUGAAGUCUGGGAUAGUUUUGACUCAUGUUCCACGCCACUUGCCAGGGUUGCUUUGGCAAUUCUAGGUCUUUUAUGAUUCCAUAUACAUUUUUGGAUUGUCUAUUCUAGUUUUGAGAAAAA